rnacentral:rRNA from 1 species
UACUCCUACGGGAGGCAGCAGUCGGGAAUUUUGCGCAAUGGAGGAAACUCUGACGCAGUGACGCCGCGUAUAGGAAGAAGGUUUUCGGAUUGUAAACUAUUGUCGAUGAGGACGAUAAUGACGGUACCUUACAAGAAAGCCACGGCUAACUACGUGCCAGCAGCCGCGGUAAU